AAAUAUCUAACAAAACAGGCAGGAAAAAAAAGGGUGUUUCUAUUGAAACGUAACUAUUUUUGCCUGCAAGUUUUGUUAUACAUUUGUCGAUAUAGAACCUUCUAGCCAAACCGAUGAAC